AGCCCCUCGGCCAGGCCGGCUCCGAGCGCGAAGGAGCCGCGGAAGGGCGGGCGGCGGAAGAAGAGCUCGGCGGCGGCCGGGGCUCGGUGCCGCCCGGCCCGCCAGUGCCCGUAGGCCAUGGACACCUGGUACAGGGAGUGACUGGGGUCUCUAAACCUUGGGAAAGGUGACUGGAAACAUCCUGAGACCUUCAUUCCAGCCCUAAAAUUCAGGCUGAACCCUCCCAGCUCCCAGAGCUGCUCCUGGUGCUCCAGACCCUUCCCAAUCCAUUCCUUUCCACGGAAAACACUCCAGCCCCUCCAUGUCCUUCUUGUCAUGACGACCCAAGACUGAUCCCAGGAUUGGAGGUGCCCCAGAAGUGCCAGCACAAGCUGAGAUUUCCCUGUCAAUAACAAUUCCUCAAAAAAAAAAAUAGGGAAGAGCAUGGGAAGAACAUGGAUACCUGUCCCAAGCUGAAGCGAUCAAGAGAUCUUAAUUGGAACCCGUAAGACAAUGCAAGAAGGCACAACCGUGUCCCAAAUCCUCAAAAAUUAUGGAAAAAAUUGUCUUUAUGAGACUGUGAGAUUUUCCCUGAGGAGAGGAUGCUCCAAGCUUUGGGAAUAUGGACACCACGCCUCCAUUACAGCACACAAAAACCAUUCCCUCCUCCAACUUCCAGCUCCACGCAAGCAUGCCUGAAUUUUAUCGGGGAUAAGAAUUCAAAAUUCCAGAGGUGGGGAGUUGACUCUUUGUAUAAAGCCCUCAAAUCCUUUAUUUCUAAGCCAUAAUUUUUGUGCUGAACCCACCUUAAAGCUGCAGCCUGUAUCAGAUAUUUUGCUUUGGGAAGGCUGGAACUGUGCAUAAAUUUAAUUAUCCAAACAAAUCAAAUCCCUGGGAAUUAUGAAGGGUACAAAACAGGACUUCGGACGAACAGCUUGGGAUAUAAACAUCUGUUAUUCCCUGAAGUUUGAAUCCCUAAAAUAAGUUUUAAGUAUCAGAAAUAAUAAAAUUUUCCCUCAC